ACUCAGUUGGUAGAGUACAAAGCUCUUAACCUUAUGGACGUGGGUUCAAGCCCCAU
rfam:Triticum urartu cultivar G1812 contig1241608, whole genome shotgun sequence.